UGCUUAGUAGUUAAUGGUUAUAUAACUAAGAACUGCAAAUUCUUCAUAGUCUAGUUAGGCCUAAGCUU
rnacentral:tRNA from 1 species